AGAGGAGCAGCGGGGUGGAGGGAUCGUUCAGCUGAUCUGAAGCCGAUUGCUCUGCAGAGACGUCUUCUGUGUUCCACGUUGAGCUCAGGGACACGCGGCGGUUACGCAACGCAGGAGACAGAAUAAAGUGUCACGGAAAGUUAUACGAUCGAAUGCGUUUGUCUUUUAACGCAAAACCAACAGUUUAGAUCAUUUGUCUCAGAUUCAGCGAUUCUUUGAACCCAACGACCUUCACGAAGACGGCCGGACGGUCCGCAAACCUCACUGACUGAGGAGACAGUAAGGAGACGAUUACUAGACAAUGAGGAGAAAAUAAGGAGCUGGAAAGAAGACUUCUGGAGAGACACGGGGAGACAAUCGCCACUGUAAAGGUGACAGGACAGAAGUGUUACCAGGGAAGGGUGAAACGUGUGCAGGUGUUGCUAAGCGACAGGGACAGAUGUUUGAUCCGGUCCUCCUCUGGUGUGCCGCGUGACCUCAGCGUCCUGCCAACCCGCUGCCCGCUGCUGGAGGGUAAAUCAAGCGCACCCCUCCCCGGUUUCACCCUGCAGCCCGCUGAGCAUUCGCUGAGGGGGAGAGAAGAGGGAAGGAGAGGAGGUGAGGAAAGCACAAGGGAAGGAGAGGAGCGGCUGAGGGGAGAAGGGAGGAGCAGUGGAGAGGAGACAAGUCAUCGGAUGGGAGAAAGGGAGGCAGUGAAAUCAGAGAAGAGGAGGAAGGAAUCAAAAAAAAGGAGAAGAGACGGAAAAGGGGAUGAAGAAGAGGAGGAGGAAGUAUGAAGAGGGGAGGAAAAGGGAAGGAGAGAUUAUAACAUGAUGACAAGAGAAGGUACGAGGAAAGGAAAUCAAAGGAAAUAAGGAAUGGAGAGGGGGAGAUAACAGGAGAGAGGAGACCAAGGAAGGAAGGAAGGAGACAAAGAUGAAAGGUGAGGAGACAAUCCAAUGGAGCGACGGAGGACGAUGAAGAGGAAAGAGAGAUCAUCUAGAGUACCUUCAUCCCAGAAUGAACUGCAGAGCUUCAUGGGACUUAUGAG
ensembl:lncRNA